AGGAGGAGGUCUGCAGAUACACAUCACACAGAGAGCUGCAGCAGAGCGAGCUGCACCGUCUGCGUCCCGUCAGCAUCUCCAGUCGUGUCUAAGCUCCAGCAGGAUGAAGGGGCUGCAGCGGCUCAGCCUGCCUGGAGCGUGAGGAGCCUUCCUGGGCUCCGUCUGCCUGGUGCUCCCCCCUCCUCACCGCUCUGUGCGGAGCUCUGAUCCUCCAUCUGUCCCUCCGUCCGUCAGUCUGUCUGCAGCAUCUCUCCUGAAAACUGAAAACAUGGACGGACUGCGCCUGCCGCCCGUCAUCGAGGAGGUCCUCGAUCCAUCUGAGGAGCUGUGCGAGCUGAAGACGGAGAAGCCGAUCAUGUUGGCAGAAACUCUGACGGCUAAAGAGAGGGA